rnacentral:rRNA from 1 species
AGCGAACGCUGGCGGCAGGCCUAACACAUGCAAGUCGAACGAACCUUUCGGGGUUAGUGGCGGACGGGUGAGUAACACGUGGGAACGUGCCUUUAGGUUCGGAAUAACUCAGGGAAACUUGUGCUAAUACCGAAUGUGCCCUUCGGGGGAAAGAUUAAUCGCCUUUAGAGCGGCCCGCGUCUGAUUAGCUAGUUGGUUGAGGUAAUGGCUCACCAAGGCGACGAUCAGUAGCUGGUCUGAGAGGAUGAUCAGCCACAUUGGGACUGAGACACGGCCCAAACUCCUACGGGAGGCAGCAGUGGGGAAUCUUGCGCAAUGGGCGAAAGCCUGACGCAGCCAUGCCGCAUGAAUGAUGAAGGUCUUAGGAUUGUAAAAUUCUUUCACCGGGGACGAUAAUGACGGUACCCGGAGAAGAAGCCCCGGCUAACUUCGUG